UACGUAGGAGGCAAGCGUUGUCCGGAAUUACUGGGCGUAAAGCGCGUGUAGGCGGUCUGAAUAGUCUGCUGUGAAAGCGCCUGGCUUAACCGGGCGAGGUCGGCGGAAACUCUCAGACUGGAGGCCGGUAGAGGGGGGUGGAAUUCCCGGUGUAGUGGUGAAAUGCGUAGAGAUCGGGAAGAACACCCGUGGCGAAGGCGGCUCUCUGGGACGGUACUGACGCUGAGACGCGAAAGCGUGGGGAGCGAACAGG
rnacentral:rRNA from 1 species